rnacentral:rRNA from 1 species
AUGGCUCGGGCUUCAUUGUUGUCACAAGAUUGGAUGAAGUUCUCAUCAUACAAGGAGCGUCUACUUGGUCUUUCAUUUGGUUUGCUUUCAACCAGGCACCACGAUUUAUCUUACAACCUUACAUGGCGUACCUUGACUGAUCCGUCACGCCUCGCGUCAGCGUCCAUCAGAAGGCAGUUAGGGCAUAACCUUCUAUCUGCAUUGAAAUACACAUACAAGAUUGAUCAAAGGGAUUCACAUAUCAGGCCAACAAAAGGAUAUGCAUUUCUCUCAUCCUCUCAAGUUGGUGGUCUUUGGGAUAACAAAGGAUUGAAUUUUUUUCGCCAGGAGUUUGAUGUUCGUGGUGCCUUGCCUUUUGGAUUCUGGAACGCUGCUCUCAAUGUUGGUGUAGGAGCUGGUGUUGUUUUACCACUGGCAAGAGGAUUUAUGAAUUCGUCUACACCUGUGACUGAUAGAUUUAACCUGGGAGGUCACUCUUCUCCAGUUUGCAGCCUGGGUGGAAUAUCAUCCUUGCUCGGUUUCAGAACAAGAGGGGUUGGCCCGACAGAAGCACGGAGGCUUGUCCCCGGCGAGUCGGAAGAUGGUUCUGCUGCUGUUCCAGGGAGGGAUUACUUGGGUGGCGAUCUUGCAGUUUCUGCCUUUGCGGACCUUUCCUUUGAUCUGCCUCUGAAGGUGUUUAGAGAUGCUGGAAUACAUGGUCAUGCGUUUCUCACUGCUGGGAAUCUUGUGAAACUGUCGGAGGGCCAGUACAAAAACUUCUCGCUUGAUGAAUUCCGUCGUUCGUUAGGAGUAGUGCUGGAGUUGGCAUUAUUUUGCCGACUAAACUGUUCCGGGUCGAGGUGA